UACGUAGGGGGCAAGCGUUGUCCGGAAUUAUUGGGCGUAAAGCGCGCGCAGGCGGUCUGGCAAGUCUGGGGGUUAAACCCGGGGCUCAACCCCGGGUCACCCUAGAAACGGUUCGACUGGAGGACAGAAGAGGAGAGUGGAAUUCCACGUGUAGCGGUGAAAUGCGUAGAGAUGUGGAGGAACACCAGUGGCGAAGGCGACUCUCUGGACUGUGACUGACGCUGAGGCGCGAAAGCGUGGGGAGCAAACAGG
rnacentral:rRNA from 1 species